ensembl:lncRNA
CGUCUCUGUGCUCAGUUACUCCAAAGGGUUUUGAGUAUCUAAAUGUGGAGUUUCAGUACCUAAAGCAGGACUAUAAGAAAGAAGGGGACAUACUCUUUAGCGGGAUCUGUUGUAAUAGGACAACAAUUGUUUCAAUCUAAAAGAGGAGAGUUUUAGAUUGGAUAUAAGGAGGAAGUUUUCUACAAUAAGAGUGGUGAGGCACUAGUGCAGGUUACCCAGAGAGAUGGUGGAUGCCUCAGAGUAAGGAAACUGUUACGUCAGAGCUUGAACUGAUGAUUGGGCACCUGGUGAAGGGGUGGCUGCCCCAGGAAGCACAGGUGGAAACAAUUUACCUGUGCUUCCCUGGGCUUAAUUAAGGGCUAGCCUCCAAAGGGAGAAUGUUUCCUGAGUGAAGGCUACUUCCUGAGAAGGAGUGUUUUAUAGCCAGAAGAUCCUCAUCACCUUUUGGGGCUAUACUUAAGGAGAAAGAAGAAAGAACUGUUUCAGCGCUGAAGGACACAACCCAACCUCUGCUGAAAUACAAGGCCAUUUUGCCAUCAAUCCCUAUUCAAUCCGUACAGAUUAAAUGCACAGAGAAAAGUAAUGAGCCAAGGUAGAAAAGGGAGUUUCCUCACACUGAAAAUCAGCUCAUUUGUUUAUCACCAUUCACUCCAGAACUGGAGCCCUCUGCAGUGACUGGGAAAAGAAACACCCCAGAGAAGAAUGAAGACUAAAACACUGAGACAUUUUAUUAUUAGUGGCACUGAUUAGUCCACAGAUCUGAGAUUUGACUUCUGAUACCACUGUGCAAAUGCGAGCUUUUAUUAACCUGAUAUGAAUCUCACUGAGCUUGUUGGAAGCUUUUGGCUCUGACGGACUUUGGAUCACAUCCAUGCAUUAUGUUACCAGCAGCACAUGUUUUUAGUUUAAACUUUUUUUUUUUUUUGUAGCACCAAGUACUCCUGAUCAGCCAAGGUGAUUUCACAAGGAUGGAGCAAAUCCAUAUAGCAUGUCUUUUCAAAGUAUCAGUACAUCACCUGCAAUGAAUUGUUUAAAGUUUUGGUUUUUUUUAAUAACUUGAGCUGCUUUCAAAUGGAUCCUGUAGAUAUACCAAAAAUAUCCCUACGAUGCUAAAGCUAAUCAUAAAUCAUGAUGAAAAUUUUCAGCUGGAAGAAAAACCUCAUGAAUUUUAUUUCUUCUACAGUUUUGGGCAAAUCAUUUUGAUUUUUAAAAUUACGGAGGAGAGUUUCAGAGUGUAAAUAGCUACAUUGAAGAUGAAAGGAAUUUUUAUUAACUUGAUUUUGGUGUGGAUUUCUUUUUCUUUGUCCAGAGCUUCAUGAAUGUAACUGCUUCAGUCCUAGGGAAAAAAAAAAAAAAAAAACCCUCCUUAAAAGCGAAAUGUUACCAGAAUUUGUGCCUAAUAAAAAAUAAAUGUGUCUUCAGGAUAUACCUUUAAGACUGUAAGCUUUGUCAGAGAUUAAUUCAGUCUCUCUGAAGCGGAAUGCAAAGCAGAAUAGCAAAGAAGAUAGAUAGUAAUCAAUCAAUAUUGUAAAUCACCACUAAAUUCCAUAGGCAGCAUAAAUGUAGAAAAACAGAAACACUUUAAUAUGGAAUUCAUGUCAAAGCAGUACUGCUCUGGCACCCUGGGGUUCAAUUAUGGCCACGACAGCUCUAUGUAGGAUUAGUCUCUCAUCUCUUGGAGGGUGGAGAGGAGGAGAAUGUCACACAGAACUGCAAAAUCUUGGAUGAAAAAUGUACAACACCACGAGGUGAGACCUCAUGGAGCUUUCUACCACAGAGAGUUCUUGAACACCUCCAUGGACCGUGCCACCAGCUGGGCAGACUGUUCCAAUCUAUCAUCACCACUCUUUUGGAGAAGAAAUCUUUCCUAAUAUCCAACCUGAACUUCCCCUGGCACAACCUGAGGCCAUUUCCUCUUGUGCUGUCGCUGUUACCUGGGAGAAGAGGCUGACCCCACGUCCCUACAGCCUCCUUUCAGGGAGCUGGUGAAAGAAAGUCCUUGGCUUUGUGUUCACACUGAUCUGCAUUAACUACAUCGUCGUUGUGUUAUCACCGCUAUUUUCAAAAAUGCAAUACACAGCAUUGUAUGACCCUCUGCAAAGAAAAGUAACGCUAUCCCAGCCAAUACUAUGAUAGUAUAUAUUCUCUGUGUGAAAUUUUAUUUCAGAACUCUUCAGUAGCCUGGGGUUUUGACUAUUGACACACAUCACUAAUAAAUAAUUAAACUUGAGAGACUGAAUGUAGUAAAUGCUCUAGUGAGAAGACAGCACAUUUUGCCUCACAGGCAUGCAAUCAUAAAUGCUGUUUGACCAGUUAAGCAAGCAGCACGCAGAAAUAAAAUCUUCAUGGACUGAUCCAAAACUUGCUGCAGUCAAUUGAAACAAUGCUAUUAACUUCAUGGGAUUUUAGAUCAGCUCUUUACUGAAUAAGUGUGCAUUGUUACAAUGGUUAGGGAAAAAGGGAAUCAGUUGUUACUGAUACGUCAGCAAUUCAGCCAUCUCCAUUGUUAUUCUUGCAUUACUGUUGUCUACAGGGAUGUUGUGAGACACACAGGCGUCUCAAAGUCUCAGGAUAUCUAAUGUUGGAUUUCAUCUCUUCUCCCUUCAACAAAAAUAAAUUGGGGUACAUUCAUA